CCGUCGUGCUGCCUAGCAACGAGACGCCAGGGAGGGUGAGGCGGUGCGGAUGACGUAAUUCCCGCAAGACGCAGGAGGCCCCCGGCGCCCGGAGCGGCAAGAAGCGCGGGAGAAGCUCGUCUUCACAGGUGAUUGACACUGGCUUUAUAAGCAUUCAUCCCCUCCUCAGGUCCCAGUGGAUUAUUUUCCAGCACAGUGUAUGUGAUGUCAUGGUGUCACCGCUGCUGAAGUGAAGAUGAGCCAUCAACAGGAGCAGGCUCUGUGUAUCUUGAAGACAAGAUGAGAAGGAGCUGGAGGGACAAGACGUAAGGAAGCUGCUGGAGGGACACAGGCGGAACUGACAAUAACUAGAACUGGAAGACAACUGGAACUGGACCAUGACUGGAUGGGAACUGGAAUAUUAGCUGGAACUGGAAUAUUAGCUGGAGCCAGGCUGGCACUAGAGUUGAACCAGAAUAUUAGCUGGAGCUGGACUGGAACAAGAAUAUUAGCUGGAGCUGGACUGGAAUCAAAAUAUGCGACUGGACUGGAACUGUGCUGGUGUUACUGAGAAUAAGUCCCUUAAUUACCAAACAAGUUCUGGAGACUGGAGCAUGCUGGGACUAGUUUAGCAGACUUGACUGGUAGCAGGUACUGUACACUAUGGAACGAAAGGAUCGGAGCUGUGAAGAGUCACAGUAACCGGGAGCACAGUACUGAGUUGUCUCCUUCAGUAGAAGUGAGGUUGUACAGGUGAUUUGGUCUUGAUAGGAAGUCCCCUUUAUAGCACUGAGUUGAAGUUGAUUGGAAGCUUUGGUCAUCUGGUCUUAGAGCAGCGUCCAGAUUGACUGUGGAGAGUCAACUGAUUUUUUCCAUGAUGGCAGCACCCAUGCUGUGUUUUGGUGGGAACUCCGACAUUCAAGAUACUCAGCGGAGUUGGAGCACUGUGGAGAGUCACAUACAGGAACAUCCACACUGGGAUGGAUGUGCAACAUGAGCGGAUCUUAGCACCAGCCAGGACAGACACUUCAUAGGUCUGAAACUAAAUUAAAGACUCUGGAGCAUGACACACUCUAGGUAAUAUAGUCAUGUUAGCCCUAGUUUUCUAAUGUUUACUUACACUACAGUGGACAUUCAAAGGUUAAGUAAUUUAAGGUACCAUUGUCCCUUUUGUGUACUCCCUUUUGUCCAACAGUAAGCUGGCCAGACAGGGUGACUUUCUGGCUGAUGUAAUCACCUUGAUUAUAAUAUGUGUAUUGUAUUCCAAUGUCAUAAGAUCCUUAAGCUGGAUACACACUGGUGCAACGGGGAUUCGUUCCAACAUAGGAAUGAAUCUCUAUCAGCCCAAAUUGCCCCUAAACACUGGGACAACUUUAAUGAAGGACAGAAUGACAGUCCUUCAUUAACAUAACACAGAACGCUAGUGAGGGAUGCUUGAUUUGAUGUGCAGCACAUCAAACCAAGUGUUUGUUGCAUUCAACCGUGGGAGCGCGCAAUCCUGGGUACACACUGAGCAAUGUAAGCAAUAUGUUGCUCCAAAACAGCAUUUUGGAGCGACAUCGCUCCAGUGUGAACCCAGCUGCAAUCUGAGGCUUCUGGGGAUAUAAAUAGAGCUAUCAAGAGAGCUGAGAGGAGAUUCUCUGCUCAUAGGCUAAGAAAUUAUAUUCUGUCAGGAGUUUGUGGUGGGAAUUGACGUGUGGAAUUGAAUUACAGAAGUGAGCUGAACUGUUUUUUGGAACCCUGUAUCUUUACACAGCCCAUUCCUAGUCCCCUGCAAGUGAGAGAGACUUUUUUACACACACAUACCUACAUACAGUAUAUAUAUAUAUAUAUAUAUAUAUAUAUCUACUGUAUAUCUUUCUCUCUCUCUCUCUCUCUCUCUCUCUCUCUCUACAGUAUAUAUAUAGUAGAGAGGGCAUAUUUACUUUAUUAAAUUACUAAUUAUUUAACUUUCCCAAAUUGUAAUAAUAACAAUAAGACUCUGGGUUAUAAUUGUGAUAAUCUCAGGGUGAUAAUUGAUCAAAACUUUGAGAGAAAUAAAUUGGAGAAGUUGCCCAUAACAGCCAAUCAGCAUCUAACUGUGAUCUUAUAGACUGUGCUAGAUAAAUCAUAGCUUAUUGGUUGCUAUGUGCAACUUCUCCAGUUGUCUCUCUCGAAGGUUUGAUACAUCUCCCCUUUGGUGUGUUAGCAUGCACUUUUACUGCUUUACAGCAAAUAUUAUACACCUUACAUUUGUGAUGAAGUUUUAAAUUAUUUAGAUUCUUUGAGCAUUGGGGGGUGGGAAGUGAUCAGAGAUAAAUAAUGUGUUGCGGACAGCAGUGGCACCCCCUCCCACAGCCUAACCCUAACCAUCCCUCCUCCUGCAGCUUAACCUUAACUGCACCUCUUCCCGCAUCCUAACCAUAACUGCCCCCUUCCGCAGCCUAACCCUAACCUUCCACCCUCCCACAGUCUAACCCUAAUCGCUCCCCCAACAGCCUAACCCUAAUCAUCCCUCCUCCCGCAGCCUAACCCUAAAUGCCCACUUCCCGCAGCCUAAUCCUAGCUGUCCCCUCCCCGCAGCCUAAUCCUAACUGUUCCCUCCCCACAUGUGGGAGCUGUCAUUUGUGGGGAGAAGAGCUAUAAAUGUAUCCUGUGGUUUACAUUUCUAAAAAUGUGUUUACAGUAAAAGUCAGUACGGUGAGUACUGUAUAAAAUA